rnacentral:rRNA from 1 species
AGUGAACGCUGGCGGCGUGCUUAACACAUGCAAGUCGAACGAGAACGGAUUAUAGCUUGCUAUAAUUUUCAGCUAAGUGGCGCACGGGUGAGUAAUGUAUAGGUAAUAUGCCUCUUACUAAGGGAUAACAAUUGGAAACGAUUGCUAAUACCUUAUAUCCUUUUUAUCAAAAGAUAAAAAGGGAAAGAUUUAUUGGUAAGAGAUUAGCCUGUAUUGUAUCAGUUAGUUGGUGGGGUAAUGGCCUACCAAGACAAUGACGCAUAACUGGUUUGAGAGGAUGAUCAGUCACACUGGAACUGAGACACGGUCCAGACUCCUACGGGAGGCAGCAGUGGGGAAUAUUGCACAAUGGACGAAAGUCUGAUGCAGCAACGCCGCGUGGAGGAUGACACAUUUCGGUGCGUAAACUCCUUUUAUAUAAGAAGAUAAUGACGGUAUUAUAUGAAUAAGCACCGGCUAACUCCGUGCCAGCCGCCGCCGUAA